rnacentral:rRNA from 1 species
CUUACAUUGGGGGAUAGCCUUUCGAAAGGGAGAUUAAUACCGCAUAAGACAGUAGCUGGGCAUCCAGCAGCUGUUAAAGAUUUAUCGAUGUAAGCUGGGCAUGCGUCCAAUUAGCUAGUUGGCGAGGUAAUGGCUCACCAAGACGAUGAUUGGUAGGGGAACUGAGAGGUCAAUCCCCCACACUGGCACUGAGAUACGGGCCAGACUCCUACGGGAGGCAGCAGUAGGGAAUAUUGGGCAAUGGACGCAAGUCUGACCCAGCCAUGCCGCGUGCAGGAAGAAGGCGUUAUGCGUUGUAAACUGCUUUUAUAUAGGAAGAAACGACCCUUGCGAGGGGCAUUGACGGUACUAUAUGAAUAAGCACCGGCUAACUCCGUGCCAGCAGCCGCGGUAAUACGGAGGGUGCAAGCGUUGUCCGGAUUUAUUGGGUUUAAAGGGUGCGCAGGUGGUUUAUUAAGUCAGUGGUGAAAGACGGUCGCUCAACGAUUGCAGUGCCAUUGAUACUGGUAGACUUGAGUAAAGUAGAGGUGGGCGGAAUUGAUAGUGUAGCGGUGAAAUGCAUAGAUAUUAUCAAGAACUCCAAUUGCGUAGGCAGCUCACUUGGCUUUUACUGACACUCAUGCACGAAAGUGUGGGUAUCAAACAGGAUUAGAUACCCUGGUAGUCCACACUGUAAACGAUGAUAACUAGGUGUCGGCCGAAUCUGGUCGGUGCCACAGC